rnacentral:rRNA from 1 species
UACGUAGGGUGCAAGCGUUGUCCGGAAUUAUUGGGCGUAAAGAGCUCGUAGGCGGUCUGUUGCGUCGGCUGUGAAAACCCGGGGCUCAACUCCGGGCCUGCAGCCGAUACGGGCAGACUAGAGUUCGGCAGGGGAGACUGGAAUUCCUGGUGUAGCGGUGAAAUGCGCAGAUAUCAGGAGGAACACCGGUGGCGAAGGCGGUACUCUGGGCCGAUACUGACGCUGAGGAGCGAAAGCGUGGGGAGCAAACAGG